CCACUAUAUCAUUGGAAGAGAAUUCUGCCACAAUAGAAUUCUUAUCAACAAUUUCUUUUUCUUUUCCAUGCUUAACCAUCAUCAAUUUCUUUACAGUUUCUCCUUGCAAUUGACCACGGUGAUAGUGACAAAUAUCUCGACUUGAGUUAAACUUUCUCUCCAUACCAACUCCUGCCAAUGGAAUUGCCAGAAUAUCGCGUGCCAUCAUUGCCACUGUUGGGUACUGACUGCUGAUCAUCCUCCACAGAUCUAAAAUAGAUUUUCCUUUGAUAUUAACAGAAUCAUCAUAUAGAUAGCAGUCAAAUUCAGUGUUGCAAGAAUUUUGUUUGCUCAGAUUUUCAGCAGCAAUCAAUGAGUGCAAAUCCUUAAUCAAUAUUAGUAACAGAUUAAUAUCAAUAUCUCAGUGAGUAUUAUAAAAAAAAAGUUACUAACCAAAGAAUCAUGCUCUAUUGGCUCUUCAAUUUGGGUAUUAUCCUGUUCAUAUUGUCGAUAGUUGUUGUUGUAGUAUGUCCGAGCUAUAUCAACAUAGAUUUGUCGUUCUUCCGCCGUCCAAUCCCCGGG
rnacentral:sRNA from 1 species